CCAAGGUGUUCCCAUUCGGUGAUCAGGACUGAACACAUACCGUUCAGCAUGGAGUUUGGGCUGAGCUUGGUUUUCCUUGUUGCUGUUUUAAGAGGUGUCCAGUGUGAGGUGCAGCUGGUGGAAUCUGGGGGAGACUUGGUGCAGCCUGGGGGGUCUCUGAGACUCUCCUGUGCAGCCUCUGGAUUCACCUUCAGCAGCUAUGCCAUGAACUGGGUCCACCAGUCUCCAGGGAAAGGACCACAGUGGGUCUCAGGUAUUAUUUAUGAUGGUAGUAGCACAUACUAUGCAGACUCUGUGAAGGGCCGAUUCAUCAUCUCCAGAGACAACUCCAAGAACACGCUGUAUCUGCAAAUAAACAGCCUGAGAACCGAGGACACGGCCGUGUAUUACUGUGCAAUAUACACAAUGAAGGGAAGUCAGUGUGAGCCCAGACACAAAUCUCCCUGCAGGAAGGGCUCACGACCACCAGGGGGCGCUCAGGCCCUACACACAAUGACCAUCACAGAGGCAGGUGCAGAUGGAGGUUAA